rnacentral:tRNA from 1 species
GGGACGAUAGCUCAGUCGGAAGAGCAUUUGACUUUUAAUCAAAGGGUCCUGGGUUCGAGCCCCAGUCGUCCUACCA